rnacentral:rRNA from 1 species
GACGAACGCUGGCGGCGUGCUUAACACAUGCAAGUCGAACGAACAGGCCCUGCUUUUGUGGGGUGCUCGAGUGGCGAACGGGUGAGUAACACGUGAGUAACCUGCCCUUGACUUUGGGAUAACUUCAGGAAACUCGGGCUAAUACCGGAUAGGAGAUACUGAUGCAUGGUGGGGGUUGGAAAGUUUCGGCGGUUGGGGCUAGACUAGCGGCUUAUCCGCUUGUUGGUGGGGUAGUGGCGUACCAAGGUUUUGAAGGGUAGCCGGCAUUGGAGGGUGACCGGGCACAUUGGGACUGAGGGAGGGCCCAGAAUGCAACGGGAGGCAGAGGUCGAGAAUAUUACACAAUGGGCGGAAGCCUGAUGCAGCAACGCCGCGUGCGGGAUACCGUCCUUCGGGUUGUAAACCGCUUUCGCCUUUGACGAAGCGUGAGUGACGGUAAUGGGUAAAGAAGCACCGGCUAACUACGUG